AAAUCCGCUAAGGAGUGUG
rnacentral:snRNA from 1 species